GCUCCCAUGGCGUAGUGGUCACUGCAAUCGCCUUGCACGCGGGAGACCCGGGUUCGAUUCCCGGCGGGGUCA
rnacentral:tRNA from 1 species